rnacentral:rRNA from 1 species
AUCCGNAUGUCAUCGGAUACUAUCUGGCUCGACCAUCGGAGGGGAGACUGGAAUUCACGGUGUAGCAGUGAAAUGCGGAGAUAUCGAGAGGAACACCAGAGGCGAAGGCGCGUCUCUGGACGAUUCCUGACACUGAGGCACGAAAGCUAGGGGAGCAAACACGAUUAGAUACCCUGGUAGUCCUAGCUAUAAACGGUGCACGUCGUAGGGAGUACGGCCCGCAAGGUUGUAACUCAAAGAAAUUGACGGGGGCUUGCACAAGCGGUGGAGCAUGUGGCUUAAUUCGAUGCAACGCGAAGAACCUUACCUGGGUUUGACAUGCUGGUGGUAGGAGCCCGAAAGGGCAACGACCCCGCAAGGGGAGCCAGCACAGGUGCUGCAUGGCUGUCGUCAGCUCGUGUCGUGAGAUGUUGGGUUAAGUCCCGCAACGAGCGCAACCCUCGCGUCCCGUUGCCACUCCCGCGCAAGCGGGAAGCACUCAGGACGGACUGCCCCGUUCCAACGGGGAGGAAGGUGGGGAUGACGUCAAGUCAGUAUGGCCCUUAUGCCCAGGGCUGCACACGUGCUACAAUGCCCGGUACAAUGGGAAGCAAUACCGUAAGGUGGAGCAAAUCCCCAAAAACCGGGCCCAGUUCAGAUUGUCGUCUGCAACUCGACGGCAUGAAGUAAGGAAUCGCUAGAAUCUCUAGGAUCUGUAGAUUUAUUAAUA